GGGUGUGAUCAUACCAACACUAAUGCACUGGAUCCUAUCAGAACUCCACAGUUAAGCAUACUUGGGCGAGAGUAGUACUAGGAUGGUAACCUCUUGGGAAGUCCUCGUGUUGCAGCCC
rnacentral:rRNA from 1 species